UGUGCGAUGUGAACAAGCAACUGUUAGCUAAUGACAAGGAAUUUCCAGAGUGAACAACUGUAGUCACGUGUGCAGCUCAGUUGGACUGUCCAUUAUAGUGAUACCUCUAGUGGGUAUCUUUAAAGUGAAAGCACUCUGUGUGAAGCUUAGUGUUGGAACAUUAAUAUGGGGUUGAGAGGUGACGCAAUUAUAAUUCAUUAAGGGAAGGAAGUAACAACUGUAAAGCGAUGUAAUUCGUGGCUUCGUAAAUGUUCUGGCAUUUUACGAUGACGGGUUGGAAGCUGCACCAUGGAAGUCGUAGCUCAAAUAGUAUCGAGUCAGUCCAGAUGGAACAUCUUCCGUGGAGUGAAAUGGUUGUGGACCAAGAACAAACCUCUGACAGUUGGGGUGGUGGUUGUGGUUGCCGCUUUCAAGAUCAGGGAAGUCAUCAAACGUAGGCAGAAGAGACUAGAAUGGGCCAACGCAGGAAGAGACGUCGUCAUUCUCCACGGUAUUGCUCAUGGCCUGCGCACUCCCAGCGUGUCGCCCUACGUCAUGAAGCUGGCGACCUACCUCAGGAUGGCUAACAUUGAGCAUAAGA